UACGUAGGGUGCGAGCGUUAAUCGGAAUUACUGGGCGUAAAGCGUGCGCAGGCGGUUUUGCAAGCCGGAUGUGAAAUCCCCGGGCUCAACCUGGGAACUGCAUCUGUGACUGCAUCGCUGGAGUGCGGCAGAGGGGGAUGGAAUUCCGCGUGUAGCAGUGAAAUGCGUAGAUAUGCGGAGGAACACCGAUGGCGAAGGCAAUCCCCUGGGCCUGCACUGACGCUCAUGCACGAAAGCGUGGGGAGCAAACAGG
rnacentral:rRNA from 1 species